rnacentral:rRNA from 1 species
CGGGGGAGCAAGCGUUGUUCGGAUUUACUGGGCGUAAAGGGCGUGUAGGCGGCCACCGCAAGUCAGUUGUGAAAGCUCUGGGCUUAACCCAGAAAGGUCAACUGAUACUGCGGGGCUAGAGUGCAGAAGGGGCAACUGGAAUUCUCGGUGUAGCGGUGAAAUGCGUAGAUAUCGAGAGGAACACCUGCGGCGAAGGCGGGUUGCUGGGCUGACACUGACGCUGAAACGCGAAAGCUAGGGGAGCGAACGGGAUUAGAUACCCCGGUAGUCCUAGCCUUAAACGAUGAAUGCUUGGUGUCUGGGGUUUUAUAGUCCCCGGGUGCCGUCGCUAACGCUUUAAGCAUUCCGCCUGGGGAGUACGGUCGCAAGACUG